AUUUUCUAUAGCGACAAACAGUCUGAUUGGUUGACUGGUUUUGUUCUCUAUAGGUAAAAAGCCAAGGCUCGCCAAACAUUGAGGGAGUGGAGUCUAUUCCUCUGAGGAAGCAUGUAGUUUUGGGAAGAUCACAGCAGAUACAGGCAUUUGCCCUGGACCAGCAGGAGUAGACCAGGGAUGUUGUUGUCUAGCCCUUUCAGAAGCAGCAUGGACCAUCAGAGAGUUGAGAGAGGGGUGAGAAAAGAAAAAGUCUGUACCUUUGACCACUGAAGCUGUGGAAACGUAAAGGUUCCGUUCGGACCGUGCAACAGCAAGAAGGAACUGGAGAGGCAGUUGGUCCAACCCAUCCUUUAUCCCCUUGGAGGCACGAGGCGAGCCAGGGUGCAUGUGCAGACCAAUGGACACUGCUUUCAAAUUCUCUGGCUCCAGGCGCAUGUGUAAUCCAUAGCGGAAUACAACAGGGAUCAUCACUCGAAGAAUAAGAGUUCUUUACAAUGCUUAGAGAUUAUCAGAAAGUCCCUGAGAUAUGGGCACUGAGAUCUUGAAAAAAUGCUGUAAAUACACACAAUAUGGGCUUCCUUAUAACUAUACGUGCUAAAGACAGCUGCGCCAAUGAAAUGUCACUAGAAGCCACCCGGUUAUCAUUCUGUCAGAACAAAUACAAUCAGACAUGUCUUCUCUCUGGAACAAUGAUAGUUUACCUGAUGA